UAGAUUGAAGCCAGUUGACUAGGGUAUUUAGCUGUUAACUAAAUUUUCGUGGGGUUGGAUCCCACCAAUCUAG
rnacentral:tRNA from 2 species